rnacentral:rRNA from 1 species
GAUGAACGCUGGCGGCGUGCCUAAUACAUGCAAGUCGAGCGAAUGGAUUAAGAGCUUGCUCUUAUGAAGUUAGCGGCGGACGGGUGAGUAACACGUGGGUAACCUGCCCAUAAGACUGGGAUAACUCCGGGAAACCGGGGCUAAUACCGGAUACCAUUUUGAACCGCAUGGUUCGAAAUUGAAAGGCGGCUUCGGCUGUCACUUAUGGAUGGACCCGCGUCGCAUUAGCUAGUUGGUGAGGUAACGGCUCACCAAGGCAACGAUGCGUAGCCGAGCUGGGACGUGGAUCGGCCACACUGGGACGGAGAAACGGCCCAGACUACUACGGGAGGCAGCAGUAGGGAAUCUUCCGCAAUGGACGAAAGUCUGACGGAGCAACGCCGCGUGAGUGAUGAAGGCUGUCGGGUCGUAAAACUCUGUUGUUAGGGAAGAACAAGUGCUAGUUGAAUAAGCUGGCACCUUGACGGUACCUAACCAGAAAGCCACGGCUAACUACGUGCCAGCCGCCGCGGUAA